GGUCUUCAGCGCCGCCGCUUCUUCUUCUUCCCCGUGUCCGGAACCCAGUAGAUCGGCACGUCGUCUUCAUCUUCGCCGGCUUCUCGGCACGGAACCCAGUUGUUGGUUUUGCUUUGAUUUGUAGUUGCUGGCUUCUAAUUAUUGCUGGUUUUGCUGGCUUUGUUUGUUGCUGAAUGUUGCUGGUUUUGCUGGCUUUGUUUGUUGCCGAUUGCCGUUCGUCGAAGACCGGUUGGACUAGUAAACCAGUGAACCAGUGACUAGAGCGGUUUGAUAACCGGUCCGGUUCUCAGAACCUUGCUCGUGAUCUCGUCUCCUCUCCUCUCCACUCCUCCUCAAAGCUCAAACCAUUAGUCCCUCUCCUUCUCAAACACCGCUGACCGCCGACCGCCGCCUCCCACCUGAUGGCGUCGCAGUCUCGUCUCGUCUCAUCUCCACUCCUCCUCAAAGUUCAAACCCUCAGCCCCUUCUAUCUCCUUUCCAAACACCGCCGAUCGCCGCCUCCCACGACCCAGCGCCGCCUCCCACCUCCCGAGUGGCUCGAUCUCUCACUGGUGGUCCCGAACUCACCGUCGCCGGUCGUCGUCUUCUCCUCUUUGCCGUUCGUCUGCCAAAUCGCCGGUCUUUGCUGUGGUUUCUGCCUCGGGGGUUCCAAGGACUGAGGAGGAACAGAAUAUUUUUACUUGGAUUACAAAAGUUGGGCAAAGGUGAUUGGCGUCAAAGCAAUUGCUUAGACAUGAUAGUCUUCAAUCUUGCCAACAUGCAUUAUUGGUCCCAAAGGAGGAAGACUAUAUUGAAUGGUUUAAAAAUGCUGGCUUCAAAGACGGCAAGCUCAAAAGGAUAGGUCCAAAGUGGUACCGUGGUGUGCGGAGGCAUGGUUUGAUCAUGGGUUGCUCUGUGAUUGAUGUGAAGCCAUUUUGUGGAGACUUUCCCCUCAAGGUAAUACCUAAUUUCUUCAUCUCCUUUACUUUAUAAUGUUUUCUUUAAUUUAGUUUGUUAUGCAGCUUGGUCCAAAGGUAGAGGAUGUGAAGAAGCCUGUGAAUCCACUUGUGUUUUUUUCUUGAUUAAUUCUUUGUGCAAUUGAGCUCUAUGGCAUCAGGAAGGAAGUCGCAUCCAGUACGUCCUGACAUGUUUCUUGAGACCGUCUCCAAGUUAAUGUCAAAGUCAUGCUUGUUACAUUUUAUUCUUUGAAAAAGAUUGCUAGAAGAAGGAAUGCACACUUGAUUAAGUACCCUGAUGCCAAAGUAAUAAGCCUUGGAAUUGGUGAUACUACUGAACCCAUUCCUGAUGCCAUAACUUCUGCAAUGUCAAAGAGAUCACAUGCAUUAUCAACCGUAGAAGGAUAUAGUGGUUAAGGAGCUGAACAAGGUGAACAGCCACUAAGAAGUGCAAUUGCUUCAACAUUUUACCGUGAUCUUGGCAUUGAAGAUGAUGCCAUAUUUGUGUCAGAUGGAGCCGUUAAGUUGAGCACUGUGAUGGAUGCCUCGAGAAGAAACUAUAAAAAAGACUAAACGGAGGGAAAAAAAGAAGAGAAGAAAAAAGAAUGCUUGUGUAUAUCAUCCCUACAUGAAUUGUACUGUGUAGUAUAGUAGUAGUAGUAGUAGGCUUCCUUUGUUAAUAAAUAUAAACAUACUUGGAGUAAUUUAAUUCAAAAUCUAACUUUAUUUUUUUGCAAGUCAUUAUGGAUGGUAAAAUCUUUAGUCAAAAGUAUUAGCAUA